rnacentral:rRNA from 1 species
CAGCAAUGCCGCGUGAGUGAAGAAGGCCUUCGGGUUGUAAAGCUCUUUUGUCAGGGAAGAAACGGUAGAGGCUAAUAUCCUUUGCUAAUGACGGUACCUGAAGAAUAAGCACCGGCUAACUACGUGCCAGCAGCCGCGGUAAUACGUAGGGUGCAAGCGUUGUCCGGAAUUAUUGGGCGUAAAGAGCUCGUAGGCGGUUUGUCGCGUCGUCUGUGAAAUCCCGCAGCUCAACUGCGGGCUUGCAGGCGAUACGGGCAGACUCGAGUACUGCAGGGGAGACUGGAAUUCCUGGUGUAGCGGUGAAAUGCGCAGAUAUCAGGAGGAACACCGGUGGCGAAGGCGGGUCUCUGGGCAGUAACUGACGCUGAGGAGCGAAAGCGUGGGGAGCGAACAGGAUUAGAUACCCUGGUAGUCCACGCCGUAAACGUUGGGCGCUAGGUGUGGGGCUCAUUCCACGAGUUCCGUGCCGCAGCUAACGCAUUAAGCGCCCCGCCUGGGGAGUACGGCCGCAAGGCUAAAACUCAAAG